AGUGAACGCUGGCGGUAGGCCUAACACAUGCAAGUCGAACGGCAGCACAGUAAGAGCUUGCUCUUACGGGUGGCGAGUGGCGGACGGGUGAGGAAUACAUCGGAAUCUACUUUUUCGUGGGGGAUAACGUAGGGAAACUUACGCUAAUACCGCAUACGACCUACGGGUGAAAGCAGGGGAUCUUCGGACCUUGCGCGAUUGAAUGAGCCGAUGUCGGAUUAGCUAGUUGGCGGGGUAAAGGCCCACCAAGGCGACGAUCCGUAGCUGGUCUGAGAGGAUGAUCAGCCACACUGGAACUGAGACACGGUCCAGACUCCUACGGGAGGCAGCAGUGGGGAAUAUUGGACAAUGGGCGCAAGCCUGAUCCAGCCAUACCGCGUGGGUGAAGAAGGCCUUCGGGUUGUAAAGCCCUUUUGUUGGGAGAGAAAAGCAGCAGGUUAAUACCCCGCUGUCCUGACGGUACCCAAAGAAUAAGCACCGGCUAACUUCGUG
rnacentral:rRNA from 1 species